rnacentral:rRNA from 1 species
UACGGAGGGGGCUAGCGUUGUUCGGAAUUACUGGGCGUAAAGCGCGCGUAGGCGGACCUGCAAGUCGGGGGUGAAAGCCCGAGGCUCAACCUCGGAACUGCCUUCGAUACUGCGGGUCUCGAGUCCGGGAGAGGUGAGUGGAAUUCCUAGUGUAGAGGUGAAAUUCGUAGAUAUUCGGAAGAACACCAGUGGCGAAGGCGGCUCACUGGCCCGGUACUGACGCUGAGGUGCGAAAGCGUGGGGAGCAAACAGG